GGGGAUUUAGCUCAGUGGCAUAAGCGCCUGCCUUGUAAGCAGAUAGUCGGGAAUUUGAUCCCCG
rnacentral:tRNA from 1 species